rnacentral:pre_miRNA from 1 species
CAAGUACUCCCUCCGUCUGAAAAUACUUGUCAUCAAAAUGGAUAAAAAAGAUGUAUCUAGAACUAAUAUACAUCUACAUACAUCCCCUUUUAUUCAUUUUGAUGACAAGUAUUUCCAGAUGGAGGGAGUACUAC